rnacentral:misc_RNA from 1 species
AACGCACAUUGCGCCUUUUGGUAUUCCGAGAGGCAUAUCUGUUCGAGCGCCGUUUUCACUCUCAAGCUUCAGCUUGGUGUUGAGCAGAAUCGCUAGAUUUUGCUUCAAACUCAGUGGCAGUCUGCCCCAAAGUCCAUAGCUUGACAAAACUCUCGCUAUAGCUGAAGGGCCAGCUAGCCAGACUACGAAAAUGAUGGCCUCGGAUCAGAUAGGGUUACCCGCUGAACUUAA